CAUUGCUCUGCCAUUUUAAUUGAAGAUCUCGUACAAGAUGAGUUGAACAAAAUACAAUUGGCUGAUGUGGCUGCACAUUUGAAAAAUUGAAACGGCAAAAUGCCGUGAAUCGCAAAGACCUUAAGAGGUGCUCCUAUGGACAAGACACCGUCCACAUAAGUGAGGUUAUGUUGUGUUCGCUGGUUGUUAAACUAUCAAAAGAUAGACGAACAGAAUGGAUGGGUUGUUAAUAAACUAAACCAUAUUGAAACGAUUUUAAUAAAUAAUAUCCAAUA